rnacentral:lncRNA from 1 species
ACCCCGGCUCCUUGGGAUAGAUGGGGAAGCUGAGGCCCAGAAGGGGGCUGAGACCACCUCCCAGUUUCCCCAGUGAGGUGGCGCCUGAGCCACGGCCAGGCCCGGCCUCCUUCCACCCGGCCCUGCUGUGCGCGCGGCGGGUGCUGACCUGGCGAGGCCGGACAGGGGACCAGGUCGGGGUGACCGUCACUGACACCUGGACAGUCCUCGUUGUGUUCGGGGUGGGAAGCCCACGGUGAGUCUGGGGACCCAAGAUCUUAUUUUCCUUUCUGUCACCCCCGCUUGGUUUUGGAUUCCGUGACAGCUGGACCCGGCUUCUGCGUGGGAAGAGUGUAUCACAGCCAUUGGGAACUUUCUUCACCCAUCAAAGCCUCAGGGCUGAAGCAUCCUGAACAAGAACUCAGGAGAGUGAAAGAAACAGUUACCUGUCGGCUGCAGCUGGUACCAGCUCCCCACCCCGUACAGAGACCGAAGCGUCCUCUCUCUCCCCAUCACCCAGCACCAGACUCUGCCCCGCGACCUCAGCCUGCACCUGCUUCCUGGCUCCAUCCAGCCUUCCAGCCUCACUAGAUCAUCAUGGGCCACUGGCCAACACACAGGGCAGUGCCGAGCCCAGGCCGUGGUCACACAUGGCUGGGUUAGUAGCUGAAAACAUUGUUUUUCACUGGCCUCACAGUAAUGGCACCUGCCCCCAUUUUCUGUGAUUGAAUUUUUGGAUCCUGCUACCAGGUUAUGAUAGAUUUUAUGGUAUGUCUCAAGAUAUUGAGAUAAAGGUAAUAAAACAGCUAUAAAGUCCUGGCUCAAGAAGUGUUACAAACCCAAGCAGGGUAAAUACAAGAAAACUGCACCCAGACACAACAUAGUAAAAUUGCUGAAAACCAAAGAUGAAUAGAACACUUAACAGUUGGAGGAAAAAAGCCACAUUACCUUCAUAAGGACACCAAUCACACUAACAUCUGACUUCGAAAUAGAAAUAUAAAAGCCAAACUACAAGGGAAUGUGAUCUUCAAAAUAUUGAAAGAAUUUAAUUGUUAAGUGAAAUAAUUAACUGCCAACCUAAAUUCUAUUCCUAGUGGAAAUACUCUCCAAGAAUAAAGGUGAAAUAAAUACAGACUCACACAAGAGAAAUCAAGAGCGUUCUUCCUCAGGAGACAUGAGCUGAUUGGUAUAGAAGAGGUGUUUGAAACGUCCUUAGAGGGAGGGCUAGAGACACAGGGAGGAGAAACCUUCAGAACACACCUUCCAUUGAGGGCCAAAAAAGUCAACUAUCGAUUCUUUGAAAGUGCCCCAAACUCGUAAAUCUCUGGUGAUGCUGACCAAAAAAACAAUGAAGGAAGGCACCCUGUGAUGGGGAAGGAAAAGGGGAGAUUGCUGGAGAUCUGUGGAUAUUAAAAAUAGGCACAUAUACACUAUGGAAUACUAUGCAGCCAUAAAAAAGGAUGAGUUCAUGUCCUUUGUAGUGACAUGGAUGAAGCUGAAAACCAUCAUUCUGAGCAAACUUUCGCAAGGACAGAAAACCAAACACUGCAUGUUCUCACUCAUAGGUGGGAAUUGAACAAUGAGAACACUUGGACACAGGGUGGGGAACAUCACACACCGGGGCCUGUCGGGGGGUGGGGGAGGGGGGAGGGAUAGCAUUAGGAGAUAUACCUAAUGUAAAUGAUGAGUUAAUGGGUGCAGAACACCAGCAUGGCACAUGGAUACAUAUGUAACUAACCUGCACAUUGUGCACAUGUACCCUAGAACUUAAAGUAUAAUGAUAAUAGAAAAAAAAUAGAGCACAAGGAACAUGCUAACAAAUUUGAAAGUUUUGAUGAGAUGGAAAAAUUCCUAGAAAAUUAUAACUUACCAAAACUGAAAGAAGAAAGAUAAAUGACCCCACAUUUGUUAAAUAAAUUGGAUCUGUCAUGAAAAUAUUUCACACAGUGGAACCUCUAGUCACAAAUGCUUCACCAGUGAAUUCUACUAAACAUUUAAGGAAUAAAUAGCACCCAUCUCACACAAACUCUUCUAGAGCCGAGGCAUAAUGGGAACAGCAACUCCACCUGUCAUGUUUCACCUCCAGGAAAACGUGAUACCCAAACUCAACAGAGAAAAAAUAAACUUACAGACCAGUCUCACUCAUGAACAUAAACAGAAAUCCUCAACAAGAUAUUAACAUAUAAGACCUGGCAGUUGGCCAGGCGUGGUGGCUCACGCCUGUAAUCCCAGCACUUUGGGAGGCCGAGGUGGGUGGAUCACGAGGUCAGGAGAUCGAGACCAUCCUGGCUAACAUGGUGAAACCCUGUUUCUACUAAAAAUAAAAAAAUUAGCCAGGCGUGGUGGCGGGCGCCUGUAGUCCCAGCUACUUGGGAGGCUGAGGCAGGAGAAUGGCGUGAACCCGGGAGGCGGAGCUUGCAGUGAGGCGAGAUCACGCCACUGCACUCCAGCCUGGGCGACAGAGCGAGACUCUGUGUCAAAAACAAAAAACAAAUAAACAAAAAACCCUGGAAGUAUGUAAUGAACAUAUUAAAUUGAAUCAUCUCUCUCUCUCUCCUCCUGCCUCUGUGUGUGUGCUUGUGUGUGUAUAUAUAUAUAUAUUUCUACAAACCAAUGAAAAAAUGACCGGCAGCCUAGGAGGCAAUAUGCGUAGAAUUGAACAAACACUUCACAAAAGAAGAUGUCCCGUGGCCAAUAAACAUGAAAUGGUGACCAACCUCAUUAACACCAGGGAAAUGCAAUGCAAAGCAGAAGAUACAUCAGCACAUUCAUCAAAAUGUAGAAAAUUGAGGAGACCAACCACACCGAGCAUUGGGGAGGUUGUGGGGCCAAGAGAGCUCUGUGCACAGCGGUGGGGAGGGCACACGUGGAAGGUCCUCCCAUUGCCUGCGAGAUGGCAGGGCUGGAAUGUCUGUGCUGGCUUCCUUCCUCGCUCGUGGCUCUGUGGCUUGGACAGCUGCAGGCUGGCCGGAGCCGCUCCACUGGAGUCGCAUUUCUGGGGCCUCAAUUCCUGCUGUCAGCUGGGUUCCCCGAUUUCUUUCCAUGUAGCCUCAGGCUCUCUCCCUCUGCACGUGGCUUCUCCACCUGGUGUCUUUAGAGGGGCAGCUGGGCUUCAUCCAUGGUCACCUCUGGCUUCCAAGAGGCAUAAGACAGAGCUGCCCAGUCCUCGUGAGACUCAGACCCAGAACUACAACAUAGGCCCUACCCAGAUCCAUGAGGUGUGGACUACAAGGGCGCAAAUACGGGAGGCAGGUUAGCACCUGCACCACCUGCACCAACAUCCCCCCCGUCGUGUGCCCAGACGAUGGAAGUGGUCACUGCCUUUGCCCCAUCGUGCUGCGGACGUGCACUCUCUGCCAUCAUUCUUUCUCGGAUGCCAG